rnacentral:lncRNA from 1 species
UUCGCCCACCAGUCCAUCUUACUGGCCGACAUCACCAAGCUAUAGCCCCACCUCCCCAAGCUAUAGCCCCACCUCCCCUAGCUAUAGCCCCACGUCACCUAGCUAUAGCCCCACAUCCCCUGCAUACAGCCCCACCUCUCCCGCAUACAGCCCCACCUCUCCCGCAUACAGCCCACUUCCCCUCUUACAGCCCCACUUCUCCCUCCUACAGUCCCACUUCCCCCUCCUACAGUCCCACUUCCCCUUCCUACAGCCCCACCUCCCCUUCCUACAGCCCGACAUCCCCUGCAUACAGUCCCACGUCCCCUGGGUACAGUCCCACAUCCCCCAGUUACAGUCCUACAUCUCCCAGUUACAGUCCCACCUCACCGAGCUAUAACCCGCCAUCAGCGAAG